rnacentral:rRNA from 1 species
UAGGGAUUCUUCCGCAAUGGGCGAAAGCCUGACGGAGCAACGCCUCGUGAGUGAUGAAGGUCUUCGGAUCGUAAAACUCUGUUAUUCGGGAAGAACAAAUGUGUAAGUAACUAUGCACGUCUUGACGGUACCUAAUCAGAAAGCCACGGCUAACUACGUGCCAGCAGCCGCGGUAAUACGUAUGUGGCAAGCGUUAUCCGGAAUUAUUGGGCGUAAAGCGCGCGUAGGCGGUUUUUUAAGUCUGAUGUGAAAGCCCACGGCUCAAGCGUGGAGGGUCAUUGGAAGCUGGAAAACUUGAGUGCAGAAGAGGAAAGUGGAAGUCCAUGUGUAGCGGUGAAAUGCGCAGAGAUAUGGAGGAACACCAGUGGCGAAGGCGACUUACUGGUCUGUAACUGACGCUGAUGUGCGAAAGCGUGGGGAUCAAACAGG